ACAAUGGCUGCCACUGAAUUUUGA
rnacentral:siRNA from 1 species